rnacentral:rRNA from 1 species
GGGCCCGCACAAGCAGCGGAGCGUGGGGUUUAAUUCGACGCAACGCGAAGAACCUUACCAGGGCUUGACAUGACCAGGACCGCGGCGGAAACGUCGCCUCCCCGCAAGGGGCCUGGCCACAGGUGUUGCAUGGCUGUCGUCAGCUCGUGUCGUGAGAUGUUGGGUUAAGUCCCGCAACGAGCGCAACCCCUACUGUGUGUUGUAUCACUCACACGGGACUGCCGAGAGAAACUCGGAGGAAGGUGGGGAUGACGUCAAGUCAGCAUGGCCCUUACGUCCUGGGCUACACCCACGCUACAAUGGCCGGUACAACGGGCGGCGAAACCGCGAGGUGGAGCAAAUCCCUUAAAGCCGGUCUCAGUUCGGAUUGUAGGCUGCAACUCGCCUACAUGAAGCCGGAGUUGCUAGUAACCGCAGGUCAGCAUUACUGCGGUGAAUAUGUUCCCGGGCCUUGUACACACCGCCCGUCACGUCAUGAAAGCUGGCAACACCCGAAGCCGGUGGGCUAACCGCAAGGAAGCAGCCGUCGAAGGUGGGGUUGGUGAUUGGGACG